GAUGAAGAACGCAGCGAAAUGCGAUAAGUAAUUUGAAUUGCAGAAUUCAGUGAAUCAUCGAAUCUUUGAACGCACAUUGCGCCCCCUGGUAUUCCGGGGGGCAUGCCUGUUCGAGCGUCAUUUCACCACUCAAGCCUCGCUUGGUAUUGGGCAACGCGGUCCGCCGCGUGCCUCAAAUCGACCGGCUGGGUCUUCUGUCCCCUAAGCGUUGUGGAAACUAUUCGCUAAAGGGUGUUCGGGAGGCUACGCCGUAAAACAACCCCAUUUCUAAGGUUGACCUCGGAUCAGGUAGGGAUACCCGCUGAACUUAAGCAUAUCAAUAAGCGGAGGA
rnacentral:misc_RNA from 1 species